rnacentral:rRNA from 1 species
GACGAACCGUGCGAACGUUGUUCGGAUUCACUGGGCUUAAAGGGCGCGUAGGCGGGCUGCCAAGUCAGGGGUGAAAUCUUUCGGCUCAACCGGAAAACAGCCCCUGAUACUGGCGGUCUCGAGGAAGGUAGGGGCAGGUGGAACUUCCGGUGGAGCGGUGAAAUGCGUAGAUAUCGGAAGGAACGCCGGUGGCGAAAGCGACCUGCUGGACCUUUUCUGACGCUGAGGCGCGAAAGCCAGGGGAGCAAACGGG